rnacentral:rRNA from 1 species
GGAUUGGCGAGUUUGAUCCUGGCUCAGGAUGAACGUUGGCGGCGUGCCUUACCAAUGCGAGUCGAACGGUACGGGGAGGCUCUUCGGAGCGCCCACGACCGUGGCGUCCGGGUGCGUAACACGUAGCUAACCUACCGGUCGGUGGGGGAAAACUCCGGGAAACCGGAGGUAAUCCCGCAUAUGGUCGCCUGGUAGACAGGUGGACGAAAGCUGUGGCAGGGGAACCUGCGAUGGCGCCGGCUGAGGGGGCUGCGGCCGAUUAGCUAGUUGGUGGGGUAAUGGCUCACCAAGGCAGUGAUCGGUAGCGGGUCUGAGAGGAUGAUCCGCCACACGGGGACUGAGAUAUGGUCCCGAGCCCUACGGGGUUUAGCAUGGAGGAAUCUUGCGCAAUGGGCGAAAGCCCGACGCAGCGACGCCGCGUGGGGGAUGAAGGCCUUCGGGUUGUAAACCCCUUUUCUGGGGGACGAAAUUGACGGUACCCCAGGAAGAAGCCACGGCUAACAGGGUGCCAGCAGCCGCGGUAAUACCUUGGUGGCAAACGUUAUCCGGAAUCACUGGGCGUAAAGCGCUCGUAGGCGGCUUGGUAGGUGUUCGGUGAAAGCCCCCGGCUCACCCGGGGAGGGUCCGAGCAAACCACCAGGCUAGAGGCAGGCAGAGGACCGUGGAACGUCCGGGGGAGUAGUGGAAUGCGUAGAUCCCGGACGGAACACCAGAGGCGAAGGCGGCGGUCUGGGCCUGUCCUGACGCUGAGGGGCGAAAGCGCGGGGAGCAAACAGGAUUAGAUACCCUGGUAGUCCGCGCCGUAAACGAUGGACGCUAGGUGUGUGGGGGGCUCAACCCCCCUGCGUGCCGGAGCUAACGCGGUAAGCGUCCCGCCUGGGGACUACGGUCGCAAGACUAAAACUCAAAGGAAUUGACGGGGGCCCGCACAAGCAGCGGAGCGUGUGGUUCAAUUCGAGGCUACGCGAAGAACCUUACCGGGGUUUGACAUUACACGGCGAUCCCGCGAAAUCGGGAGUUCCUUCGGGAUCGUGUAACAGGUGCUGCAUGGCUGUCGUCAGCUCGUGCCGUGAGGUGUUGGGUUAAGUCCCGCAACGAGCGCAACCCUCGACGCUAGUUGUAUAUGUCUAGCGUGACUGCCGCGGACAACGCGGAGGAAGGUGGGGAUGAUGUCAAGUCCGCAUGGCCCUUAUAUCCCGGGCUACACACACGCUACAAUGGCCAGUACAACGGGCAGCAACCUGGCGACAGGAAGCGAAUCCCUAAAAGCUGGUCUCAGUUCGGAUUGCAGGCUGCAACUCGCCUGCAUGAAGUCGGAGUUGCUAGUA